rnacentral:lncRNA from 1 species
GUGUAACUUAAAACUUAUGAGUUGUUUAUUUCUGGAAUUUUCCAUUUAAUAUUUUCAGACCUUGGUCACCUGGAGGUAACUGAAACCACAGACAGUAAAACCACAGAUAAGAGGAGACUACUGUAUCAGAAUAAAGAACCAAGACCUGAAUUACACUUCAAAAAUUGACUAAGAUAGAAUGUUAAUAAAUUGCUCUAACUAGAUCUUCUGGAAGAUCUAGUGCCCUUUGCCAUGGAGCUGAACAUGUACCUGGCCCAGGACUUGCAAAGCUGAAGGAGGAGACCUGGAGAGAGCUUCAGGAGCUGCAGUCACAGCUGCUGCCCUAAGUUAAGGAAUGAACGCCCUAUGAUGAUAGAGGCAGAGAUUGGAGUGAUGCAUCUACAAGCCAAGGAACACCAAAGUUUGCUGGAUAUCACCAGAAGCUAGGAGAGAGGAAUGGAACAGAUUCUCCCUCAGAGACUUCAAAAGGAACUAACCAUGAUGACACCUUGAUUUUGGAUUUCCAGCCUCUAGACUAUACAAGGCAGUAAGUCUCCUGGAGUUCAUUGCUCAAGCUUUAAUGUGCAUACCAGUGUUCUGGGUACCCUGUUAAAAAGCAGGAUCUGGUUCGCUAGAGGAGAGAUGAAGCCCAAGACUCUGCAUUUCCAUCACACUUUCAGAGGUUCCAAAGCUGCUGAUCCAAAGACCAUACUUUGAGGAGCAGGCCUCAGAGGACACCUUCC